rnacentral:rRNA from 1 species
UACGAACUGUGCGAACGUUAUUCGGAAUCACUGGGCUUACAGGGUGCGUAGGCGGCUAUUCAGGUCAGGUGUGAAAGCCCUCGGCUCAACCGAGGAACUGCGCUCGAGACUGGCAUGCUCGAGUUCGGGAGAGGAUGGUGGAAUUCCCAGUGUAGAGGUGAAAUUCGUAGAUAUUGGGAAGAACACCGAUGGCGAAGGCAGCCAUCUGGACCGACACUGACGCUGAGGCGCGAAAGCGUGGGGGAGCAAACAGG